rnacentral:rRNA from 1 species
UCCAGCUCCAAUAGCGUAUAUUAAAGUUGUUGCAGUUAAAAAGCUCGUAGUUGAAACUUGGGCCUGGACGGGCGGUCUACCUAUGGUGAGUACUGCAGCGUCCGGGUCUUUCCUUCUGGCUAGCCAUUGGCGAACCAGGACGAUUACUUUGAGGAAAUUAGAGUGUUCAAAGCAGGCCUUUGCUCGAAUAUAUUAGCAUGGAAUAAUAGAAUAGGACGUAUGGUUCUAUUUUGUUGGUUUCUAGGACCAUCGUAAUGAUUAAUAGGGACGGUCGGGGGCAUCAGUAUUCAGUUGUCAGAGGUGAAAUUCUUGGAUUAACUGAAGACUAACUACUGCGAAAGCAUUUGCCAAGGACGUUUUCAUUAAUCAAGAACGAAAGUUAGGGGAUCGAAGAUGAUCAGAUACCGUCGUAGUCUUAACCAUAAACUAUGCCGACUAGGGAUCGGGUGGCGCUUUUUAGCCCAUUCGGCACCUUACGAGAAAUCAAAGUCUUUGGUUCUGGGGGAGUAUGUCGC